rnacentral:misc_RNA from 1 species
GCGUUUCAUGUGUCGAGGAUAGGCCGCCCCACAGGGGACGUGUCACUAUCGGCGCAUGCUGGUCGGUGCGAUGAACUUUCCCGGACGCUCCGUCUUGAAGGAGAU